CAGCUUUUGACGUUAUGAAUAAAAAUACAAUAAAAAUCGCGCCAUAAAAAUACCAUUCUUCUGAGAUCAUAAGAGUUUUCCUUGAGUCCCCAUCGUCAUUAUGAUCCAUCCAUGGCAUCAAUGUAAUAUUCAUGGUCCUCCGCCAUAUCAUCCCUAGCAGUAUGAUGCCAAGGAACUUUGUCUGGUUUCAUACUCUCUCUCUCUCCCUCUCUCUCUCUCUCUUUGCUUUGGACUACA